rnacentral:rRNA from 1 species
AACGACUCUCGGCAACGGAUAUCUCGGCUCUCGCAUCGAUGAAGAACGUAGCGAAAUGCGAUACUUGGUGUGAAUUGCAGAAUCCCGCGAACCAUCGAGUCUUUGAACGCAAGUUGCGCCCGAAGCCAUUAGGCCGAGGGCACGUCUGGCUGGGUGUCACGCAACG